GUGCAGCUGGUCGGGGCGCUGCCGCGCUGGCUGCCGCCGGCGGCGGCGGGCCUGCUGCUGCUCGCGGUGGGGGCGACGUACGAGCGGCGGCUGCGCG
rnacentral:tRNA from 1 species